rnacentral:rRNA from 1 species
UACGUAGGGUGCAAGCGUUGUCCGGAAUUAUUGGGCGUAAAGAGCUCGUAGGCGGUUCGUUGUGUCGGUGGUGAAAUCCCCGGGCUUAACCUGGGAAUGGCCAUGGAAACUGGCGAACUGGAGUGCGGCAGAGGGGGGUGGAAUUCCGCGUGUAGCAGUGAAAUGCGUAGAGAUGCGGAGGAACACCGAUGGCGAAGGCAGCCCCCUGGGCUAGCACUGACGCUCAGGCACGAAAGCGUGGGGAGCAAACAGG